AGUAAUCACCUUUCAGAAGUCACCUUGAAGAAAAUAAUUAUUAUUUCUCAGAAGCAUAAAAUACAAUUAUAAAAUUUACCCUACAGUUUACAACUAGGCAAGGUGCAAUAUUUAUGAAGAUUAACUAAUUUCUUUCUCUAGUUGACUUUGUCUCAACUUGAAUCUUAGCAAAGCUGAUCCUCAAUUUUUAUCGAAAAUCAAUGAAAUUACUGAGAAGUCAACAAAUCAAAACAAUAAAUUUUCCCCUUCCAAUUUUUUGGGGUAUUUACCUAUAUUUAGGUUAUAUCUUCAUAGUCAAAAUGUUUAUGUUCUACCUAAGUCAAAACAGCACUAUCUAUUUAUUCGUAUUUUUUAGUACAUUAACUGAUUAAUUCAGAGUAAAAUGUACCUUUAAUAUGGAGAAAUACCUUAAAUCUAUACAGAUGCUAUCAGUAGAGGUUUUGUGGUCAUUUAGUUGCCCAGAAUGAUUUUAACUAGGAAGAAGUAUCAGCUACAUUACUUCAAACUGGUUUGACCAGUUCUUCCUGUGGCCUGGAUGGCUAAUUAGGAAACGAGAUGAAUAAGAAAUUAAUGUAAAGCUUUUCAGGCUGAUUUUCCUACCCAGCAAGUUAAACCACAGCUUUGCCUGUUAUCUGCCUUUGUGAUCUCUUCAAGGUUAUAUAAUACUGUACCUCUCACUUCCUAAGAAGAAGCCCUGAGAGACUGGAAAAAGCUCAGAGCUCAUUUCUGAGAGUAACCUGGUUCUGUUCCUGGUUUUGUCACUUAUUGGCCAAGUCAUUCAUGCAAGUGAUUUAGUGUUUGCUUAUCAUAUUAUAUGCACAAUAGCAACUGCUUAAAGAAAACUUCAUGCAAAAGGCACAUGCUGUUAUCUAGAUAGUGGGGUGCCCUUAAAGUCUUUUCUUAAAAAAACAGGGCAGUAAUGUUAUACAGACCACUAAAGGAAGCAAGUAGUUUCUGGUCUACAGACUUCUACUGUGAUCUACAGUUAGUCCUUCGUUUCUCUAAGUUUUACCUUGGGAAGUUUUUCUUUUUAAUUCACAGGUCUUCUUUCUGAGUUUCCUUUUUCAUAUCUCUGGAAGUCUCAAGCUGCUUUCAAAAUGUUUAUUGGCUCCUGACCUUAUCCCAAGAAUCUUAAGUCCUUUUCAACGUGACAUUGUAUUAAAACUUUUCUUUUGCAUCCAUUAACUAAGU
rnacentral:lncRNA from 10 species